CUCAGUGUGAACAAAUCCAUCGUUUGAGGGGAAUUGUGUGUCUGAGAAUCUUGGCAUGUUCUUGCCAAGUGAAUAGUAUGCUGAUGGAAGUCUUUGCUCUGAGCAAGCCAUUGCGUAAAGAGACUGCGUUAACGACUCCCCCGGUUGAAUCAU
rnacentral:sRNA from 1 species